rnacentral:rRNA from 1 species
CACGUAGGGCGCAAGCGUUGUCCGGAAUUAUUGGGCGUAAAGAGCUCGUAGGCGGUCUGUUACGUCUGCUGUGAAACCCUGGGCUUAACCCUGGGCUUGCAGUGGAUACGGGCAGACUAGAGGCAGGUAGGGGAGAUGGAAUUCCCGGUGUAGCGGUGAAAUGCGCAGAUAUCGGGAGGAACACCGGUGGCGAAGGCGGUUCUCUGGGCCUGACCUGACGCUGAGGAGCGAAAGCGUGGGGAGCGAACAGG